UCAACGUGAAGAAAUUCAAGCAAGCGCGGGUAAACGGCGGGAGUAACUAUGACUCUCUUAAAGUUCUCUCCAUCUUUCGAUAAAGUCAUAGUAGGGACGUUGACGUGUAAUACAUAAACUCUCUCGUCCAAGUCACACACCUACCUCCACGUGGUGCUCCUGGGCCCCUGCGCUUGCGCAGGGUGGCUAAAUGGUGUUGUGGCGUGUGCGC
rnacentral:ncRNA from 1 species